UACGGGGGGGGCAAGCGUUGUUCGGAAUUACUGGGCGUAAAGGGCGCGUAGGCGGUUCGCUAAGUUGAAUGUGAAAACUCUGGGCUUAACCCAGAGCCUGCAUUCAAUACUGGCGGGCUAGAGUUCUGGAGGGGAUAGGCGGAAUUCCUGGUGUAGGCGGUGAAAUGCGUAGAUAUCAGGAGGAACACCGGUGGCGAAGGCGGCUAUCUGGACAGAGUCUGACGCUGAGGCGCGAAAGCUAGGGGAGCAAACAGG
rnacentral:rRNA from 1 species